CAAAGCGUAAUGCAGGUGUUUUGCUUUAUCACACGAAUAAAAUAAGCCAUUGCGUUAAUCUGGUGAAACACAUGAAGGAAGUUAAAAUUUACGAUGGCACCAAUGGUAGAGACAAUCCGAUAGACUUUGAUAAAGCCCUUUCUGCUCAGGUUGUUGUCUUAUCUUUUACAAACGAUGAAAAUGAUGAAAACUAUGGAAUUUCUGUCAUUGCCAGUAAAUGGUUUGAUUGCUAUUCGGACAUUUGCAAAACGGAAUAUGUCCAAAGUCACGCAAAUAAUAGAAAUCUUAGUUGUUCAAGUAGGACGGUGGCAGCUGAUGGUCUUUAAACUUAAAAUUUGUUUUUGGUGUUAGCCAAAUUCCGAAACUUCCCACCCUCGCUCAAUUAUAAAGAACUCAAAAAGAAGCAUGUGAACUUACAUAAUAUAGAUUUUAGGGCAAACAAGAAGACAUUGACAACUCAUCCCACAACUUACGUAGCAACAUACCGAGCUUCCCAACAAACCCUAUCGACCUUCUCUUAAGCAUAAAAAGAACCAAAAAAAAGAUCAGGAUAUUAUGCAAUAUGAACCAAUUGAAAAGAAUGGGAAAAUGCCAAUUAGGCGCUCAUUAUGCCAACCAAAAAAAACAGAUAAAAGCCUCAAAGGCAAAAACCACCAAACGACCUGACAAGUUGAAAAGUUGUUACCCCAAGAAAGAAAAAAUUCAGAAAACGUAGAUAACACACAAGUUGCAAAGCCUCUUGGAUCUUAAAUUAUGGACCAAUAUUAUCUCACUUUCUUCCGUUCGAUUUUAAUCCAUAGAAAUAGAUUUUUGAAAGAAAAAGUAAAAUCCUAUCUACUUAUCAAGUGCAUAGCAUUAACCAGUGGCUAUCCAGUCUUCUCACCGGCCUUCUGAGCAAUGCUGUACGAUCUGUGCUCCAAAUUCUUCAUAUGUUGAUUUUGAUGGCUAAGUUACUUUAUGGUGUCUACUCGUGCUAUCAAACACACGAAACAGAUACUUAUUCGUGGAAACGCUUUAUCAACAGAGCACUGAACCAGACAAUUUUUAAUUAUUUUAAGAACAGAAUAAACGUUACGACAUUUAACAGGGCGAAGAAAACAGUUUCAUCGAAUCCUUUGGUUGCCACAUCACGUGACCAUUUACGCCUCUAGGUGUUGGAUAAAUCGUAUCUUAACUUUGUCGAGUAAAAUGUCUCACAACUUGGUGACAUAUAGUGAUCACUACACCGUAAUUGAAAGGUACAGGCGACAAAAUGAUGAUGUUCUGUUUGAUAGCGAUACAUGUGACCACAUUUUACUGGAAACAAGACCUAUCUAAGUUGUUUCAACAGUUUGAUAUGAAUGAACGCAAUCAUCAACGAAAAUUGAAUACCACUGAGGCGAUUCAAAAGUUUUCAUUAAUGGAAGACUUACUGGCAAGAUGUAAGGGAAGAAAUAGCUAUAGCUAUAAAAUUUCUGAUAAAGUUGAAAAAACAAUCGGAAGAUAAAUUAUUAAUUUAUGUAUAAUAGCUAGUUCUUUAUAACAUACAAUAACUCUACCAUUUUCAAAUUUUGUUUGAUAUUUCUAUAUGAGUGACGGAUCUAUGACACAUCAAUCAGAAUAAAUUAUUGUAGCUCGUUUGGGGUUUAAAAAAUACCUUAGAGGAAAUUUUUUUGAUAAAAUUUUAUCAUUUAGAAAUUCAAAUAUUUAGUUUACUUCUGAAAGUGUUUUGUAUUAAAAAUUGAGUAUCGAGCCUAUAAUUUAUUAUGACUAACACUGGAUCCGCCAUUGUAACAAAAUAUAUUUAAUCACAAAACUAGCUUCAAAAGAGUUGUACGUAAAGUUUUUAAUAUUAUUGAAUUUGGCAUUAAUGAGCGUA